UCUGGUGGCAAUAGCAAAGAGGUCACACCUGUUUCCAUGCCGAACACAGAAGUUAAGCUCCUUAGCGCCGAUGGUAGUCGGACUAACGUUCCGCUAGAGUAGGACGUUGCCAGGC
rnacentral:rRNA from 1 species